GCACCGGAAGUAGCCGCCCAGCUUUGCUCCAGCCCUGUGAGUACAAAUUAUCCGGCCUGGGCAACCCGCGGUCAGUAAACCACUAGGAGUCUGACCUCAUGGAGGCAGGACACCGUCUCUCGAGGCGGGGAAAUUUGUGGUGGUUGGAGGUGGCAUCGCGGGUGUCACCGGUGCUAAGCAGUGCAUUGUAACAGGAGAUGGCAGUCAGUAUGUAAGAACUUUUUGUGCUGGAGCUAAACCAAAAUUGAUACAUGAAGGAAAUCCUUUUGUAUCAGGAACCCAGGAUACAGACAGUGCUCAGAGGUAUGGCCUACAUAAUUGACCAAUGAAAAGAUAUACAGCUGCAAUUUCAUGGUUGGUGCUACAGAAGUUACUCCAAAUAUAGAACCUUUUCUCUGGGGCAACAAUGUAAGUUUGAUCUAGGCGAAGAUGGUGGCCUGAAAGUGGAUGAUCACAUGCACACGUCUCUCUCUGAUAUCUAUGCUGCAGGUGACAUCUGCACUGCAUCAUGGCAGCCCAGCCCAGUGUGGCAGCAGAUGAGACUGUGGACCCAGGCUAGACAGAUGGGGUGGUACGCAGCCAAGUGCAUGGCUGCAGCUACUUUAGGAUACUCUAUUGACAUGGACUUCAGCUUUGAACUUUUUGCUCAUGUAACAUUUUUCAACUAUAAGGUUGUACUACCAGGAAAAUACCAUACAUGGGGCUGAGGUUCAGAUCAUGAAUUAAUGCUGAGAUGUACCAAAGGACAAGAACACAUCAAAGUCAUCAUGCAGAAUGGGAGAAUGAUGGGAGCUGUCUUAAUUUUAAAUCAUAUGGAUCUUUCAUCAUAUGAAGAAGGUCUGCUAGAUCCAAAUAUUGAUAUACAUUAUUUUGAUUUAAAAAGGCAUUUCAAGAAUUACAUAAAGUUCCAAGUAACACAAGAAAGUCACAAUAAGAUUCCUGCCUGUCUCCUGUGUUCAUCUGGACCCAGCACAGUACCAUUUAAAGCAUCCCAUAAGCUUUAAUGUAUUUUUUCAUUAUAUAAAGAGUCAGUUACCUUGAAACAA